GCCCCGGCCGCGCCUGGCCUCCGGCCCCGGGCCGCGAGCUGUGCGCUGCUGGCUCCCGGCCGCCGCCGGGUUUGUGCCGCGCGCCGACUCACCGAGCCGCCAGCCGAGUCCGCGUCUACACCCCCAUCCGACCCGAUUGGUCGUUCGCCCCCUCUGUGGACAAGCACACAGGGACUCUGUAGAGGUUGCUCCUUGUCUCUGCUGUGGCCCAGUCCCCAGGGCAGAGCCUGGCACCCGGGGAGGGGCUCUGCAGACAAGAUCCGGCCGAGCAGGCUCCGGAGGACUCUCCUGGAUCUCCCUCUCAACCCCUGGACUGCGGGUGUUUUUCUGACCUCGCUGGCAUCCGCGACGACUCCCCUCUGAGUGGUGUUCCCUGGAACGGGCCAAACCCUUUGCCCACCUGCUCACUGGCUGGAGGACCCAUGAGCUGUUCCCGCGGCGGUGACCUCAGGUAAAGCUGCUGUGGAAACAUGUGAAGGGGUUUUGUGUGAAGGGACUUUUCAUUUCUCCGACACGAAGGCCCCAGAACCCCUUCUUUGCCUUAUUUUUAAAAAAAUUCAUUUUCCAAAAAAAUAAAAUAGAACAAAGAAUAAAAAGUCAUCUUCUCCGGCAGCAAUGGUGCCACUCCCUCUGCGCAUACCUGUGUUAGCCCCCACAGCAUGAUUGGUGGUUUCUCCCACAAACGUGUACUCAGCCCCACUGUGCGUGGGGUCCUGGGACACAGUGGGGACCGCGGCAGAUAGGCGCCCAGCAGGUAACCGGAGGACGUCGGGGUUGUGGUGGGGUAGCAGGGGGCGCGUGGGUGAGAGGGUCCCAGGAGUGCUUUCCAGAGGAGCAGCAGCUGAGCUCAGACCUGACGGGCGAGUGAGAACAGCUGGCCUGACCAAGGGACCAGCGUGUGCAAAGGCCAAGAGGCAGAGGGAAGGCGGCCGUUCCAGCAGCUGCAGAGAGACCUAACAUCUGGGACAAGCUGGAUUGUUUGGAAGUCCACGACGUCCCCAGAUAAUCCGGGAGACCACCGGGGGCCCUGCGGGGCCCUGUGUGGAAAAUGUCUGAAGAUGCUUUGGGGGAAAUUUCCAGGGAGGGCCAGUACCCAGGUGUCUUCAGCGUCAGGAAACAGCAGUAACUCUGACAACGUCUAUAGCCCACGGGACAGCACCGUCGUGGGGAACCAUCAGGAGGACAAGACAUUUUCACUAUGAUUAUGUUGCAUGAAAUAAAGACAUUAAUUAUAA